rnacentral:rRNA from 1 species
UACGAAGGGGGCUAGCGUUGCUCGGAAUCACUGGGCGUAAAGGGUGCGUAGGCGGGUCUUUAAGUCAGGGGUGAAAUCCUGGAGCUCAACUCCAGAACUGCCUUUGAUACUGAAGAUCUUGAGUUCGGGAGAGGUGAGUGGAACUGCGAGUGUAGAGGUGAAAUUCGUAGAUAUUCGCAAGAACACCAGUGGCGAAGGGCGGCUCACUGGCCCGAUACUGACGCUGAGGCACGAAAGCGAUGGGGGAAGCAAACAGG